GACGAACGCUGGCGGCGUGCUUAACACAUGCAAGUCGAACGGAAAGGCCCUGCUUUUGUGGGGUUCUCGAUUGGCGAACGGGUGAGUAACACGUGAGUAACCUGCCCUUGACUUUGGGAUAACUUCAGGAAACUGGGGCUAAUACCGGAUAGGAGCUCCUGCUGCAUGUUGGUGUUUGGAAAGUUUCGGCUGUUGGGGAUGGACUCGCGGCUUAUCAGCUUGUUGGUGGGGUAGUGGCUUACCAAGGCUUUGACGGGUAGCCGGCCUGAGAGGGUGACCGGCCACAUUGGGACUGAGAUACGGCCCAGACUCCUACGGGAGGCAGCAGUGGGGAAUAUUGCACAAUGGGAGGAAGCCUGAUGCAGCAACGCCGCGUGCGGGAUGACGGCCUUCGGGUUGUAAACCGCUUUCGAAUGUGACGAAGCGCGAGUGACGGUAAUGGGUAAAGAAGCACCGGCUAACUACGUG
rnacentral:rRNA from 1 species